UACGUAGGGUGCGAGCGUUAAUCGGAAUUACUGGGCGUAAAGCGUGCGCAGGCGGUUUUGUAAGCCAGAUGUGAAAUCCCCGGGCUUAACCUGGGAAUGGCAUUUGGGACUGCAAGGCUGGAGUGCGGCAGAGGGAGGUGGAAUUCCACGUGUAGCGGUGAAAUGCGUAGAGAUGUGGAGGAACACCGAUGGCGAAGGCAGCCUCCUGGGCCAACACUGACGCUCAUGCACGAAAGCGUGGGGAGCAAACAGG
rnacentral:rRNA from 1 species